AAUUUUAGUAGUUGCAAUACCAUAAAGGAACCAAAUCCAGCCUGGUCUUGGAAGGUAAGCAGGUUCAGCACUGGUUAGUACAUAGAUUGGAGAUCACUAAUGAAUAGCAGGUGCUGCAGGCU
rnacentral:rRNA from 11 species